GUGGGGAAUAUUGGUCAAUGGGCGGAAGCCUGAACCAGCCAAGUAGCGUGCAGGAAGACGGCCCUACGGGUUGUAAACUGCUUUUAUGCGGGGAUAAAGUGCGCCACGUGUGGCGUUUUGCAGGUACCGCAUGAAUAAGGACCGGCUAAUUCCGUGCCAGCAGCCGCGGUAAUACGGAAGGUCCGGGCGUUAUCCGGAUUUAUUGGGUUUAAAGGGAGCGCAGGCGGCUGUUUAAGCGUGCCGUGAAAUGCCGUGGCUCAACCAUGGCACUGCGGCGCGAACUGGGCGGCUUGAGUCGGCGGAAGGUGCGCGGAAUUCGUGGUGUAGCGGUGAAAUGCUUAGAUAUCACGAGGAACUCCGAUUGCGAAGGCAGCGCGCCGCAGCUGUACUGACGCUCAUGCUCGAAGGCGCGGGUAUCGAACAGG
rnacentral:rRNA from 1 species